rnacentral:misc_RNA from 1 species
ACCUCCACCACGACCAAAAAGAAAACCUAACAGUCCAUAUCCUCGAAAAAGUUGUCUCAGCUCUGAGACAUCCACCAGGGAAGUUCAAAAUGAUAAGGCAACAAUAUCAAAUAUGACGAACAAUAGCACUGCACAAAUGGCAGGUGAUGCAGCUCUUGAGAAACUUCAAAGAAAGGAGAUAUCUGAAAAAGGAAGUUGCUCCGAAGUUCUUAAUCUCUUUCGAGAAGUCCCAUCGGCAUCAUUUUCUUCAGUUAACAAAAGCUCUUCAAAUCAUGGUGCAUCCAGGGGGCUGGAACCGACUAAAACAGAAGUCAAAGAUGUGGUCAUCUUGGAAAGGGAUUCUAUUUCCAAUGGUGCAGGGA